ACCUGGGAAGCACGCAGGACGGACGGACGGGAUGAGUAAAGCUCAGGACCUCCGAGACGUCUCACUUUCACCAUUCAUUCGGGGCGCUGGGAGGCGGAGGCCUCAGCAUUUCCUAACUUAUUUUUUUAUGAAGCACUCGCCUCACCCAGUAGACUGAGAGUGUGCUCCCCGUUGACCUCGGCUCAGAAAGAAGGGAAGUCCGAUGCUAAGUUCCUCUUCCUCUACCACGGGCUCCACGCACCCCAAGACCCCCCGGGAGGUCCCGAUCCUCCUUCAGAACCGGAGCACAAGGACCGUCUUUCAUGCUCUUUUCUUGGUAGAACCUGACCUGUUGCAGAGCCAAGCACCCCGCCUCUGUCUUGGGCACGUGACAGUCAGCCCUCGGGAACUUAGGUCCAGCCCAGUAAUGGACUUGUUGGCAUCCCCUCAUCUCCCAGUUAUGAAUUCCUUGGGUCCCGUGUGUCUCUACGUUCCAGUUGGUAGCACCGAACGAGUCUGCUGAAUGGAUUUUCCCUUAGUUUGAAUCCCUGCCUGGUUUGGCCAUAAGAAAACAAAUACCAUUCACGGGGUGUGUGACAUAGACGCUGGUGCUCCCCAAUUAUUCCAUGAGAUCCUGCAUAUUUUCCAGCCUUCCUGGCACUUAGCAUGGGGCCAGGUGACGAAUUCAAGUUCACGGGCACAAGGGGGAGUGAAGCAAUGCACAGCAUUUGCCACCCGAGGACACCGAGGAGGUUGAAAGCUGCACGCAUCUGCCGCGGUGGCUGGAAGCAAAGAACACUGAGACGGCGAAGGGGCCACAGAGAGCAUCUCUAAUGCGCACCACUGCUGAAAGGCGGCCACCAGAGAGGACAGGCUGAGCUGUAUCGGACUGCUCCGAAAGUGACAAAUAAGCCUCUGGCUUUGGAGGUUUGCUGCCACAGCAAAACUUAGCUUUGCCCUGACCAACCACGGGUGAGUUUCACAAGCUGAAAGUGUAAGGAGGAGACAAGCUUGUGGAAUAUGACAGCAUCACUGGCUAGCAACAUCUUCUGAUAUCCUGGAAUUAGUCGGGAUGGGCCAUGGAUCUGGAUCUGAAACUUUUAAAUCGAAAUGGGGACAAGAGCAUCCCUAUGACGUCAUUGGAGAAUCUGAGGCAUAGAGAAGCGAAGGGAUGGGCUUCUCGGAUUAGGAGUGAGCGAAGCAUGAGAAGAGAGACCUCAAUUUCCCCUGGGCUGUUUCCCACCCUUCCUAGUUGGGAUUUCUCCUCCCCCAGCAUUUGUGCCCUUUGGGUUAGUAUUCUAGGCAUGAGACUGACCUAUUUCGAAGUGGGACAGGUUGGCAUCUCUAAAGCGGGUUCCACAGAAGACUCUGUUUUGAAGCAACAUGGUGGUAAAGAGGUUAACAUUGAAUGGGAGUUUUACUUCCAGGCAGGGAUCUCGAGCCCUGGCGGAAAGACUGCAGCUGCCCUGUGGCCCAGAUAAUGCAACAUCGGGCUGAGCAAGGACAUCUGAGAACAUUCUGUUCUCCUCCCCCGAGACCAAUUAAAAUCUGGAGGCAUCUUUCUUGUUGAUCGAGCUGACUAACUAAUUGAAACGGAAUUGUGAUAUUUUCAUCAGCUUUCUCUUAUCCCUCUUGGCCUUGCCAGCAGAGAGCAAGCUGAAUGAUCAGAGAGUUUCAAGCAUGUGAGGCCCAGGGAACGGAACCCCUCCCACCGUAAACCACUACAUUACCACGGAACAAGGUUCGAAAAAGGAUGAUGCGGGGUUGGGAGUAGGGCGAUACGCUCAAAUCUCAGUCUCAGUUCAUCCAGAUACCAAAGAUACCAUCUUCGGGAUUCCUGAUGAACCAUAACGCUGUCCUUCAGCAGUUGCUGCUCCAAUAAACCAGCUUCUGACCUCUGCCUUCCUAACGAACAUCCCUCUGCCUGACUGGGGAAGCUCCUAGAAACAAAGAACCAAACGCCUCUGAGGCCCAACAAGAUCCCUUUCCUUCCAUUGAGCUAGAAUGUAUUUCCUCGGCACGUGCAAAUGGCCUAGUGGUUAAUCUUAGCAAUUGUCCCAAAGGACAUCCAAGCCUCUGAGAGUGGGUUACACGAUUGAGAUUGCAGGACCUUUUUCUGCUUCAGCAUGAAGACCUGCAUGUUAGCAUUUGUGAGGAGAGCUCAAGAUGGGGGGAAGUCCUCUUGGCUCCUGAUCUAAGGAAGAGCUGCGUUUUGAAGCAUUGGUAGAAUUGCUCACGUGUCCAGUGUGAGGUGGCCUUGGCUGACAAGCUAUCAAAAUAAAUAAAUAACAAGAAAAU
ensembl:lncRNA